AUGGCGAGCGGCGGCAGUCUGAUGACGAAGAAGGAGCUCGGCGAGACCCACGACGUCCUCCGCUUUGGCGCCAACGACAGCGUCCGCGGCGACCUCGCGCCGGCGCACCCCGUCCAGGCCACCAUCCACAAGGAGGCCAAGUUCUGGGACGAGAAGAAGAAGUUUGGGACCGAGGCCAUCUACGGAUCGGCCUUCAACAUCCGCAGGGAUCUCGACGCCCAGAUCCUCUCCAGAGCCAUGAAGUUUACAGGCACUACUCCCAGCAGGGUUAAGAAAAUCCAUUUUCAAUGGAGUCAAUAUUCUUUAGAAUUUCAUUUUGAUGACUGUCAGGGUCAGGCGCACCAAAGGAUGGACUGUGGUUCCAUGUCCAAAGGGACAAUACUGGACCGGCAGAUGAGCGGGCUCUUGCUGAUGCAACUCCUUCUGCUGCUCAUCAACCUGUCGUUUCAUUCUCUCCUCCUCGGCUAG
rnacentral:rRNA from 1 species